AAUCAAGCCAAAGGGCAAGAAGUCCUCGACGCACUGGGGAAGCUGGUGGACAGUGCCACAGCUGCGCAGGCUGAGGUGCGGCAGGGAUGUGGCGCGGGGCCCCUGCGGCAGCUGUACGAGAGAGCCAGCGCCUUCCUUCUCCAGUUGCAGAACUUCGGGUGGCAGGAACAAGAUGGCAGCCAGCAGCCCAAUGGAGCCUCCCAGGACACUCCCGAAAGAAACCCGAGGAGGAUCUUCCAGACCUAUGCCCAGCUCGUGAGAGGAAAGCUGCGCUUCCUUUUCCAGGACUUGUGGAGAGACCUGUGUGCCGGAGAAGCUGCUGGGGCCGCCUAGCAGCCCACCUAUUGGGGCCACAGAAAGCCUCCUCCGACUGCUGGGCUGAGCCACUGAGGGAGACGCAAGCGCUCCUUCUGCUGGCCAGGAGUGGAAGUGCAGGGCAGUCUGAGCCCUGGAAGCAGAACGCGGGGAUGAAACCCCAAGAGAGAAGCAGAAGGGAAAAAGAGGACUGGGGUGGUUUGAGAAAUAGCAGAAGCUACCCGUUUGUUUUUGGCCACCUGCAAGUGCUUCCGGAUGAAGCUGAGCAAAUCCGGCUGUGCCCUCGGAAAGACCUUGGGCUUGUAAGGAUGCCAACCUCCAGGUGGGACCCGGGAGAUCUCAUGCUAUUACAGUUGAUCUCCAGACUACAGAGGUCUGUUCCCCUGGAGAAAAUAGCCGUUUUGGAGGGCGGACUCCGUGGCACUUCUGAUCAACCCCCCUCCCCGAGCCCUCCCCUCUCCGGGCGGUACCCCCAAAGCUCCAAGAAUUUCUCAACUCCGUUGGCAACCCCUAUUCACUUGCCAGUUUGGAGUCUUCUCUGGCUGGGGGGCAUGGGAGUUUAUUAUUUAGCUUCAAUGCACUCUAUGGAGCAGGACGUGGCUGGCUUUUUUGCGGGCAGCUCCCGGGGCAGAGAGGAGAGCUUUCCUUACCAAUGGGCCCUGCCAGAUCUCGGCGACUCUUCAGACAUCAACCUGGGUCAGGAAGGAGGGUCUUGACUUGCUACAGGCUGCCAAAAGGAUUUGCAAGGCUGGGCCCCAAACUUUUAUUUGGCCCUCUUCCCUUUACCACCAAAGACCCUGCAAGUUGAACAUAUUUCCCUGGACAUUUCUACGGGAUCCUCCUCUCUCCCCGAGUCCCAUUUUCCUCCUCCUAUCCAGGAGCCUGGGCGCAUGGGUCGGAACCGUCCAGCCAGAGCUGGAUAUCAAGAUCUAAAAGCCAACAUGCUUUAGAGCCUUUUGCUCAUUUGCUCUCCUGCAAGAUUCUGUUCCCACCAAAGAAGGCACAUUAGUCCUGGAAUUAAACCGGUGACCGCAAACAAGAGCCAGCUUUUCUCAGCAGGGAAUUUUGCAGGGUGCGUCCAGCUGCAGCGGAAACCCCUCUUGUAUGCAUGUAGUCCCAUUAUCUCCCACGGUUGGCAGCAUGGCUGCCUCGUGGGUUUCUCCACCCUCCAACGCCACAAGAUCCCUCCUUGAAAGUAGCUGCAGCUGGCCUAAGAACAUAGAAUCAGAGAAUCACAGAGGGAAGGGGCCAUCUAGUCUAACCCCCUGUGUGGGAUCAGCCUAGAGCAUCCCUGACCAGAGCUUAAAGACUGGCAGUGAGGGGUGGUGGGAGACCCUAAGUAGCUGUUUUCCAUUGUUGGACAACUUGGACUGUAAAAAAAAAUAAUAAUAAUUAUCCAAUAUAAGAAGAGCAAUGCUGGAUCAGACCAGUGGUCCAUCUAAUCCAGCAUCCUGUCUCACACAGUGGCCAACCAGUUCCUCUGGAGGGCCAACAACAGGGCAGAGAGGCUGUGGCCUUCAUUAGAACAUCAGAAGAGCCCUGCUGGAUCAGACCAGUGGUCCAUCUAGUCCAGCAUCCUGUCUCACACAGGGGCCAACCAGUUCCUCUGGAGGGCCAACAACAGGGCAUAGAGGCUGAGGCCUUCAUUAGAGCAUCAGAAGAGCCCUGCUGGAUCAGACCAGUGGUCCAUCUAGUCCAGCAUCCUGUCUCACACAGGGGCCAACCAGUUCCUCUGGAGGGCCAACAACAGGGCAUAGAGGCUGAGGCCUUCAUAAGAACAUCAGAAGAGCCCUGCUGGAUCAGACCAGUGGUCCAUCUAGUCCAGCCUCCUGUCUCACAGUGGCCAGCCAUUUCCUCUAGACGGCCAACAACAGGGCAUAGAGACUGAGGCCUUCAUAAGAGCAUAAGAGGAACCCUAUUGAAUCGGACGAAUACCUUGUCUAACACAAAGGCCAACAGGUUCCUCUGGAGGGCCAACAACAGGGAAUAGAGGCCAAGGCCUUCAUAAGAACAGAAUGGCCCUGCUGGAUCAGACCAACAGUCCCUCUAGUCUUUGUUGUUACCCGCUCAGCGCUCACUUGGGAAAGGGCAGGCUAUAAAUCAAACAUAAUAAAAUAAAUAGUCCAGCAGUGGCCAACUUUGGAUGGUCAAUAAGAGGGCAUGGAGGCCAAGGCCUUCCCCUGAUGAUGUCUCCUGGCUCUGGGAUUCAGAGGUUUAGGGCCUCUGAAUGUGGAGGUUCCCCUCAGCCACCAUGGGUAGUGGCCACUGAUAGACAUCCUCCACAAAUCUAAGCCCAAAGCUGUUUAUUCCUACGGCUAUCACUUCAGUCUUCUUAGACUGAUGGUUUCAGGGCACAGUUCGGAGACACACAGUCCAGCAACACUGCUGAAGAGCAGAGACCAGUCAGGGCUUGGAGGGAAGACCCUCCCCAAUGACACAGAUUUGAAUUCUGUAAUGGAUGUAAGGCAGGCCUGCAGUGAAUAAAAGCCAAAGUGGAUUAGAAUCCAGGAGACCGGUUUGAAUCCCUGCUCAGCCAUGACAUUUCCUUUGGUGACUCUGGACCAGUCUCUCUCCAGCUACACUGCCUCACAGGAUCGUCAUGAAAAUACAGCGGAGGCAUGGAAAUCCAUGUACACAACCCUGAACUCCUUAGGAAGAGAAGAAAAACGGACAAGACAGAAUUCUGGGAGUUCACCGUCUUGACCAGCAGGGGGCAGGAGAGAAACAUUAUCACACAUCAGACGGCACGGAAGCGAUUAAAGAUAACUUACAAUAGGAUCCUUUAAAAAAUGCAGGCAAAAUACACAUCAAAUUCACACUU